UGGGGAAUUUUGGACAAUGGGCGAAAAGCCUGAUCCAGCAAUGCCGCGUGUGUGAAGAAGGCCUUCGGGUUGUAAAGCACUUUUGUCCGGAAAGAAAUCCUUGGCUCUAAUACAGUCGGGGGAUGACGGUACCGGAAGAAUAAGCACCGGCUAACUACGUGCCAGCAGCCGCGGUAAUACGUAGGGUGCAAGCGUUAAUCGGAAUUACUGGGCGUAAAGCGUGCGCAGGCGGUUUGCUAAGACCGAUGUGAAAUCCCCGGGCUCAACCUGGGAACUGCAUUGGUGACUGGCAGGCUAGAGUAUGGCAGAGGGGGGUAGAAUUCCACGUGUAGCAGUGAAAUGCGUAGAGAUGUGGAGGAAUACCGAUGGCGAAGGCAGCCCCCUGGGCCAAUACUGACGCUCAUGCACGAAAGCGUGGGGAGCAAAACAGGAUUAGAUACCCUGGUAGUCCACGCCCUAAACGAUGUCAACUAGUUGUUGGGGAUUCAUUUCCUUAGUAACGUAGCUAACGCGUGAAGUUGACCGCCUGGGGAGUACGGUCGCAAGAUUAAAACUCAAAGGAAUUG
rnacentral:rRNA from 1 species